CAUGCACCAGUGGGGUCCCUCUGCCUGGCCUGCAGGGAUUGGGCCAAAACUGCUUCUCUGACAUCCCCCUAAGAGUCCCAGAUUGCGAGAGGGUGUAGGCCAGGCCGAGGGACCCCACUGGUGCACA
rnacentral:pre_miRNA from 1 species